CACUGCUCCGCUGAGUCCGAGUUCCCUCUGUACAGCGAAACUUGUACAGCCCCGGAGGGGAGGCAGUGACGCUGAGAGCACCCAGCCCCGACCCGCAGCAGUGGGGCACCGACAAAGCACCAUGGGCAGCCUGGGCCCGGCCCUGUCCCUGCCCUCAGCUCCUCCCGCCUCCUCCUCCCUGGCUGCCCCUGCACCUGGGUGAGGAGGGGGCAGUCCGGGCUCUGGUACUGGCCACAGGCAGACAGCCCCAGGGCCACAGCGUCGUCCUUUCCUCGGCGCCCAGGGAUAGGACCUAGCCCAGCAGACGUCCCUAGCCCCCUUCUCUCCUCAGCUCACUUUCGUGGCCCGGGACCCUGAGCAGAGGGGCGCCGCCCAGGCCGCGCAGACCGGAGCCCGAGCGUCACGCGCACCGCGCGCACCGCCCGCCUCUGGCCAGGACGCUUAUACAUCCGGAGGGUGGGCAGUGCCCGCUCCUCCGACCUCCCCAGCACAGGCCGGGAGCAGGGAGGGCCGGGGGCGGGGCCUGGACUGGCCGAGGGAGAGGGAGCCCAGGACACGUCGGAGGAACUCAGGCCGCUGGUCGGUCCUGGUCGGUCUGUGCUGUCCCUCACUUGCUACCCACCAUGCAGCCAGCCUGUCGGCCUGGCGGGUGUGUGGGUUGUGUCCUGGGAACCUCCGUUGUACACCUGAGCAGCGGCCUGAAGGCGGAGCCCAGAUGUGGAGUCCGAGGGAGACGUCAGUACAGAGAAGGGAGAAGUGAAAGUGAAAAACCCUGGGGCUGCUGGACACUCCAGGUAAGCCUCCUGAGGUCCCUGGCCCUGUGAGUCAGGUGGUGGAGGGGAGGGGGUCCUCCCAGCCCCUCAUUAACCCCUUCACACCUAGGCUGGGACCAGGAGACCAGGCUAGGUGAGAAAAAGUGUGGGAGCAGAAAGGACUGUGGCAUGGACAAACUCUGAUCUGAUCGAGAGCAUGCUGGAAGAGGUCAGGAUCCUCCGCUAGGCUGCUCAGCUGGAGGGGCGCCCCUGCUCCACCCACAGCUGAUACUCACCCAAGUGGUUGCAGAACCUGACUGAACCCACUGUCAAAGCCCAGGGAGUGCCAGAGGGGCCCAAAGGGCCAGAAGUGGAGGCCUGAGCCCCCAGUCCUCCACAGCAUUGCUGCCUUCCACGCCUCCUUCUGUCCUUUUUGGGGGCCGCCCCACAGCUUUCUUCGACACCACUGUAACCCCACCCUUGGUGCCUACCGCCCAGAGGGAGCCCGCGCCCAGUGGCCC
rnacentral:lncRNA from 1 species